GUAGACUCCCAAUUAACAUCCCAUUCACAUGCAUUAACAAGACAGUCUGAUAUUAAUGUAAUAUCAAGACAUGAAACUGCAUUUUUAUGUAUAUUUACUCUUGUACCUUUUCCAUUAUUAAGACAAACUAAUGACCUUUCAUCCAUUAAUUCUUCCACUAUUUCACCAUUAUGAUCUGUCUUCUUGCUACCCCAUAGACUAUUGUGAGCAUUAAAAUCUCCACACCAAACUUCUCUUCUAUGUAUUUUCCCUAUUUCCUUAAAUAUUUCAUUAUCAAGAUUUUUACAUGGAUUAUAAUAAUUUAUAAUUUUAAUAUUUCCAUAAAACUGAGAAUCCUAAUAACUCAGUGUCUGCUAAGAAUGUAACAAUAUUUUUUGUCUGCUAACACAUCUAGUAAGUACCUAGAUAUAUCUGAAGAUAGUUGACUGUUCAGAGUACUCAUAAAGUUCUGAUAUUAUAUCUGAAAACUUUUAUAAAUUUGUCCUCAGGCUAUGACCAAGAAACGGCCUCGCUGUUACUUCUCUUACAUCUCCUUCCACCGCAACCAGGAGGACAGAAGUCUCCAAAAAUCAGUGCAAGUGAUGCAGUUGAGAGACUUGUUGUCUUUCAUAAGUCAUGCUGGAGUUUAGAGGAGCAUCUCCGGGGUCAACAGGGUCUGCAGCCAUACCUCCUUGCUGUUGGGCGUCAGAGAAGCAAGACUGACAGCUUCUACAUCGUCAUGGAUAAGUGCCUCAUCCCAUGCCAGACAAACGGUUCUCUUGGAGCAUUUGAUGAGCUAUUCAAAGCACAUUUUGUGAACAUUGUCUUUUCUCCUAUUCUCACUAUGGGUAUGACGAUAUAUUUGAAACAUUUGAUUGUUGAACACCAUAAACUCUUUAAGUUCUUAUAUUCACAUCGAAAUUUGAUACCUAAGCAUCAUUUUAUGAUCCACUAUCCAUCUUCCAUUAGGAAAAUAGGUCCAUUGUUACAUAUGUGGUCUAUGAGGUUUGAGGCUAAACACAAAAUGUUUAAAGAAUAUUUUAAAAACUUUAAAAAUAUAACCAAAUCACUUACGAAAAAGCAUCAGAUGGCCACAGCUUAUCAUUGGGAAACAAUAAGUAUUAAAGAAAAUGAGCAUGGGCCUCUCAAACCAUUUUCACUUAAAGAUGAAGAUGUGGUCAACAAAGAAAUGCUUCAAAUGAUUUCAUCAGGAGAUGUUUUCUCAACCAGCUGGGUUAGAGUUGAGGGUGUUGAAUACAGACCAGGACUUGCUGUUUGCAGCACAAUUCAAGAUGAGAUGCCAGUGUUUUGUCAGAUAAGUGAUGUACUUUUAGUUGACAAUACCUUUCUUUUGAUAUCUAAACAGCUAUUCACAGAAACAUUUGAUGGUCAUCAUCAUGCUUUCAGGAUUGUUCAAAGUGAAGAAAGGCAUUUAGUAAAGAAAACUUAAAUUUCAUAAGCCUUUUGAUAUUCAAAACUCUUAUGGCGUUUCUAAUGAAUGCUUGUUCAUCGUACCACAAUUUAAAAUGUUGGAAACACAGCUGCAAAAAUAAAGUGUUCAAAAUUAA